rnacentral:rRNA from 1 species
UGACCGCUGGCGGCGUGCCUACUACAUGCAAGUCGCGCGAACAGACGAGGAGCUUGCUCCUCUGACGUUAGCGGCGGACGGGUGAGUAACACGUGGAUAACCUACCUAUAAGACUGGGAUAACUUCGGGAAACCGGAGCUAAUACCGGAUAAUAUAUUGAACCGCAUGGUUCAAUAGUGAAAGACGGUUUUGCUGUCACUUAUAGAUGGAUCCGCGCCGCAUUAGCUAGUUGGUAAGGUAACGGCUUACCAAGGCAACGAUGCGUAGCCGACCUGAGAGGGUGAUCGGCCACACUGGAACUGAGACACGGUCCAGACUCCUACGGGAGGCAGCAGUAGGGAAUCUUCCGCAAUGGGCGAAAGCCUGACGGAGCAACGCCGCGUGAGUGAUGAAGGUCUUCGGAUCGUAAAACUCUGUUAUUAGGGAAGAACAAAUGUGUAAGUAACUAUGCACGUCUUGACGGUACCUAAUCAGAAAGCCGCGGCUAACUACGUG